CUGAAGACAUAUGCCUUAAUUCAAUAGGCUCUAAUUUAAUUCUGAAUCUAUAUGCCUUUAAUUCCGUAGGAUCUGAGUUAAUUCUGAAGGCUUAUGCCUUAAUUCCAUGGGAUCUAAGUUAAUUGUGAAGGCAUAUGCCUUAAUUAUGUAGGGUUUAAGUUAAUUCUGAAGUCAUAUGCCAUAAUUCCAUUAGAUCUAACUUAAUUCUGAAGGCAUAUGCUUUAGUUAUGCAGGGUCUAAGUUAAUUGUGAAGGCAUAUGCCUUAAUUCCAUGGGGUCUCAGUUAAUUCUGAAGGUAUAUGGCUUAAUUCCAUAGCGUCUCAGUUAAUUGUGAAGGCAUAUGACUUAAUUAUAUAGGUUCUAAGUUAAUUCUUAACGAAUAUGCCUUAAUUAUGUAGGGUCUAAGUUCAUUUUGAAGGCAUAUUACUUGACUAUGUAGGGUCUAAGUUAAUUCUGAAGGUAUAUACCUUCAUUCUAUAGGAUGUGAGUUAAUUCUGAAGGCAUAUGCCUUUCAUUCCAUAGGAUCUAAGUUAAUUCUGAAGGCAUAAGCCUAUUUUAUGUGGGAUCUAAGUUAAUUAUGAAAGCAUAUGCCUUAAUUGCAUUGGAUCUAAGUUAAUUCUGAAGGCAUAUGCCUUAAUUAUAUAGGAUUUAAGAUAAUUCUGAAGGCAUAUGCCUUAAUUAUGUAGAGUCUAAGUUAAUUCUAAAGGCUUAUGCCUUAAUUAUGUAGGGUGUAAGUUAAUUCUGAAGGCUUAUGCCUUAAUUGUAUAGGAUCUGAAUUAAUUAUAAAGGCAUACGCCUUAAUUGCAUAUGGUUGAAGUUAAUUCAGAAGAUUUAUGCCUUAAUUCCAUACAAUCUCAGUUAAUUCUGAAGGCAUAUGCCACUAAUUGCAUAGCACCUAAGUUAAUUCUGAAGGCAUAUGCCUUACUUCCGUAGGCUCUAAUUUAAGUAUGAAGGUAUAUGGCUUUAAUUACAAAGCAUCUAAGUUAAUUCUCAGCAAAUAUGCCUUAAUUCCAUAGCAUCUAAGUUAAUUGUAAAUGCGUAUACGUUAAUUAUAUAUGGUCUAAGUUAAUUCUGAAGGCAUAUGGCUUAAUCCAUAGGAUGUUAUUUAAAUCUGAAGGUAAAUGCGUUUAAUUCCAUAGGAUCGGAGUUAAUUCUGAUGGUGUAUGCCUUAAUUAUAUAGGUUCUAUGUUUACUCUGAAGGUAUAAACCACUAAUUGCAUAGGAUCUAAGUUAAUUCUGAAGACAUAUGCCUUAAUUCAAUAGGCUCUAAUUUAAUUCUGAAGGUAUAUGCCUGUAAUUUUAUAUUAUCUAAGUUAAUUCUGAAUCUAUAUGCCUUUAAUUCCGUAGGAUCUGAGUUAAUUCUGAAGGCUUAUGCCUUAAUUCCAUGGGAUCUAAGUUAAUUGUGAAGGCAUAUGUCUUAAUUAUGUAGGGUUUAAGUUAAUUCUGAAGUCAUAUGCCAUAAUUCCAUUAGAUCUAACUUAAUUCUGAAGGCAUAUGCUUUAAUUAUGCAGGGUCUAAGUUAAUUGUGAAGGCAUAUGCCUUAAUUCCAUGGGGUCUCAGUUAAUUCUGAAGGUAUAUGGCUUAAUUCCAUAGCGUCUCAGUUAAUUGUGAAGGCAUAUGACUUAAUUAUAUAGGUUCUAAGUUAAUUCUUAACGAAUAUGCCUUAAUUAUGUAGGGUCUAAGUUCAUUUUGAAGGCAUAUUACUUGACUAUGUAGGGUCUAAGUUAAUUCUGAAGGUAUAUACCUUCAUUCUAUCGGAUCUGAGUUAAUUCUGAAGGCAUAUGCCUUUCAUUCCAUAGGAUCUAAGUUAAUUCUGAAGGCAUAAGCCUAUUUUAUGUGGGAUCUAAGUUAAUUAUGAAAGCAUAUGCCUUAAUUACAAAGGAUCUAAGUUAAUUCUCAGCGAAUAUGCCUUAAUUCCAUAGCAUCUAAGUUAACUCUGAAGGCAUAUGCCUUAAUUAUGUAGCGUCUAAGUUAAUUCUGUAGUCAUAUGCCAUUAAUUGCCAUGGAUCUAAGAUAAUUGUGAAGGCAUAUGCCUUAAUUCCAUAAGAUCUAACUUAAUUCUGAAGGCAUAUGCUUUAAUUAUGCAGGGUCUAAGUUAAUUCUGAAGGCGUAUGCCUUAAUUCCAUAGGAUCUAAGUUAAUUAUGCAAGCAUAUGCCUUAAUUAUGUAGAAUCUAAGUUAACUCUGAAGGCAUAUGCCUUAAUUCCAUAGCAUCUAAGUUAUUUCUGAAGGUAUCUGCCUUAAUUAUAUAGGUUCUAUGUUAAUUAUGCAGUAUAUCCCUUAAUUCCAUAGCAUCUAAGUUAAUUGUAAAUGCGAAUACCUUAAUUAUGUAGGGUCUAAGUUAAUUCUGAAGGCAUAUGCCUUAAUUAUGUAGAAUCUAAGUUAAUUCUGAAGGCAUAUGGCUUAAUCCAUAGGAUGUUGUUUAAAUCUGAAGGUAAAUGCGUUUAAUUCCAUAGGAUCGGAGUUAAUUCUGAUGGUGUAUGCCUUAAUUAUAUAGGUUCUAUGUUUAUUCUGAAGGCAUAAACCACUAAUUGCAUAGGAUCUAAGUUAAUUCUGAAGACAUAUGCCUUAAUUCAAUAGGCUCUAAUUUAAUUCUGAAGGUAUAUGCCUGUAAUUCCAUAUUAUCUAAGUUAAUUCUGAUUCUAUAUGGCUUUAAUUCCAUAGGAUCUAAGGUAAUUUAGAAGGCAUUAGCCUAUUUUAUGUGGGAUAUAUGUUAAUUAUGAAAGCGUAUGCCUUAAUUGCAUUGGAUCUAAGUUAAUUCUGAGGGAAUAUCCCUUAAUUAUGUUGCAUUUAAGUUAAUUCUGAAGGCAUAUGCCUUAAUUAUGUAGGAUCUAACUUAAUUCUGAAGUCAUAUGCUUUUAAUUAAAUAGGAUCUAAGAUAAUUCUGAAGGCAUAUGCCUUAAUUGCAUAGGCUGUAAUUUAAUUCUGAAGGUAUAUGGCUUUAAUUACAAAGGAUUUAAGUUAAUUUUCUGCGAAUAUGCCUUAAUUCCAUAGCAUCUAAGUUAACUCUAAAGGCAUAUGCCUUAAUUAUGUAGUGUCUAAGUUAAUUCUGUAGUCAUAUGCCAUUAAUUGCCACGGAUCUAAGAUAAUUGUGAAGGCAUAUGCCUUAAUUCCAUGGGAUCUAAGUUAAUUCUGAAGGCAUAUGCCUUAUUUUCAUAGCAUCUAAGUUAAUUGUGAAGACAUAUGCCUUUAAUUCCAUAGAAUCUGAGUUAAUUCUGAAGGCAUAUGCCUGAAUUAUGUAGUAUCUAAGUUAAUUGUGAAGUUAUAUGCCUUAAUUCCAUGGGAUUAAACUUUAUUCUGAAGGUAUAGGCCUUAAUUAUGUAGGGUCUAAGUUAAUUCUGAUGGCAUAUCCCUUAAUUCCAUAAGAUCUAAGUUAAUUCUCAAGGCAUAUGCCUUAAUUACGUAUGUUGUAAGUUAAGUCUGAAGGCAUUUGCAUUAAUUCCAUAGGAUCUCAGUUAAUUCUGAAGGCGUAUGCCUUAAUUAUGUAGGGUCUGAGUUAAUUCUGAAGGCAUAUGCCUUAAUUCCAUAGGAUCUAAGUUAAUUAUGCAAGCAUAUGCCUUAAUUAUGUAGAAUCUAAGUUAACUCUGACGGCAUAUGCCUUAAUUCCAUAGCAUCUAAGUUAUUUCUGAAGGUAUCUGCCUUAAUUAUAUAGGUUCUAUGUUAAUUAUGAAGUAUAUCCCUUAAUUCCAUAGCAUCUAAGUUAAUUGUAAAUGCGUAUACUUAUUAUGUAUAUGUAAUUAUGUAUGUAUUAUAUGUAAUGUAAUGUAAUGUAUUAUAUUAUAUGUAUUAUGUAAUAUGUAUUAUAAUUAUGUAGGGUCUAAGGUAAUUGUGAAGGCAUAUGCCUUAAUUAUGUAGUGUCUAAUUUAAUUGUGAAGGCAUAUGCCUUAAUUAUGUAGGAUCUAAUUUAAUUCUGAAGGCAUAUGCUUUUAAUUAAAUAGGAUCUCAGUUAAUUCUGAAUGCAUAAGCCUUAAUUCCAUAGGGGUGAAGUUAAUUCUGAAGGCUUAUGCCUUAAUUGCAUAGGAUCUGAAUUAAUUAUAAAAGCAUACGCCUUAAUUGCAUAGGGUUGAAGUUAAUUCUGAAGAUUUAUGCCUUAAUUCCAUACGAUCUCAGUUAAUUCUGAAGGCACAUGCCACUAAUUGCAUAGCACCUAAGUUAAUUCUGAAGGCAUAUGCCUUACUUCCGUAGGCUCUAAUUUAAUUAUGAAGGUAUAUGGCUUUAAUUACAAAGGAUCUAAGUUAAUUCUGAAGUCAUAUGCAAUUAAUUGCAUAGGAUCGAAGAUAAUUGUGAAGGCAUAUGCCUUAAUUAUGUGGUAUCUAAGUUAAUUCUGAAGGCAUAUGCCUUAUUUUCAUAGCAUCUAAGAUAAUUGUGAUGGCAUAUGCCUUUAAUUCCAUAGGAUCUGAGUUAAUUCUGACUGCAUAUGCCUGAAUUAUGUAGUAUCUAAAUUAAUUGUGAAGUUAUAUGCCUUAAUUCCAUGGGAUCUAAGUUAAUUCUGAAGGCAUAUGCCUUAAUUACAUAAGUUGUAAGUUACGUCUGAAGGCAUUUGCAUUAAUUCCAGAGCAUCUAAGUUAAUACUGAAGCCAUAUGCCUUAAUUAUGUCGAAUCCAACUUAAUUCUGAAGGCAUAUGCCUUAAUUCCAUAGCAUCUAAGUUGAUUGUGAAGGCAUAUACCUUAAUUAUGUAGGGUCUAAGUUAAUUCUGAAGGCAUAUGUCUUAAUUCCAUAGCAUGUAAGUUAAUUCUGAAGGCAUAUGUCUUAAUUAUAUAGAAUCUAAGCUAAUUCUGAAGGCAUGUGCCUUAAUUCCAUAGCAUCUAAGGUAAUUGUGAAGGUAUAUGCCUUAAUUCCAUAGGUCUAAGUAAAUUGUGAAGGCAUAUGCCUUCAAUUCUAUACUAUCUGAGUUAAUUCUGAAGGCAUAUUCCUUAAUUAUAUAGGGUAUACGUUAAUUCUGAAGGCAUAUGCCUUAAUUCCAUAGGAUCGAAGUUCAUUCUGAAGGCAUAUGCCUUAAUUCCAUAGCAUCUAAGUUAAUUGUGAAUGCAUAUGCCUUAAUUAUGUAGGGUCUAAGUUAAUUCUGAUGGCAUAUGCCUUAAUUCCAUAGGUCUAAGUUAAUUGUGAAGGCAUAUGCCUUAAUCCAUAGGAUCUACGUUAAUUGUGAAGGCAUAUGCCUUAAUUAUGUAGGGUAUAAGUUAUUUCUGAUGGCAUAUGCCUUAAUUCGAUAGCAUCUAAGUUCAUUCUGAAGGCAUAUGCCUUAUUUCCAUAGGAUCAAAGUUAAAUUCUGAAAGCACAUGCCUUUAUUUCCGUAGGGUAUAAGUUAAUUCUGAAGGCAUAUGCGUAAAUACCAUAGAAUCUAUAUUUAUUCUGAAGGCAUGUGACUUAAUUUCCACAGCAUCUAAGUUAAUUCUGAAGGCAUAUGCCUUUAUUACGUAGGGUCAAAGUUAAUUCUGAAGGUAUAUGCCUUUAAUUUCAUCGGAUCUAAGGUAAUUGUGAAGUUCCUUGUUCUUCUUAAUUCCAUAGGGUUGAAGUUAAUUCUGAAGUUGUACGCCCCAAUGAAAUAGAAAUAGAUAUGUUAUAUUAUUUAUUUACACGUUUCAAUGAAAUAGAAAUAAAUAUGUUAUUUAUUUACAUCUGUCUUAAUUAAUUAGAAAUAAAUAUAUUUUGUUUUUUACAUCUGUCUUAAUUAUAUACAAAUGGAGAUAUGUUGUUGUAUUGCUUCCAUGAUGUAUAAAUAAACGUUGUUCUGUGACU